rnacentral:rRNA from 1 species
AUUGAACGCUGGCGGCAGGCUUAACACAUGCAAGUCGAGCGGGGUGAUGGUGCUUGCACUAUCACUUAGCGGCGGACGGGUGAGUAAUGCUUAGGAAUCUGCCUAUUAGUGGGGGACAACACCUCGAAAGGGAUGCUAAUACCGCAUACGUCCUACGGGAGAAAGCAGGGGAUCACUUGUGACCUUGCGCUAAUAGAUGAGCCUAAGUCGGAUUAGCUAGUUGGUGGGGUAAAGGCCUACCAAGGCGACGAUCUGUAGCGGGUCUGAGAGGAUGAGCCGCCACACUGGGACUGAGACACGGGCCAGACUCCUACGGGAGGCAGCAGUGGGGAAUAUUGGACAAUGGGGGGAACCCUGAUCCAGCCAUGCCGCGUGUGUGAAGAAGGCCUUAUGGUUGUAAAGCACUUUAAGCGAGGAGGAGGCUCUUUUGGUUAAUACCCAAGAUGAGUGGACGUUACUCGCAGAAUAAGCACCGGCUAACUCUGUGCCAGCCGCCGCGGUAA